rnacentral:rRNA from 1 species
AUGAACGCUAGCGGCAGGCCUAAUACAUGCAAGUCGAGGGGUAUUGGGAGCUUGCUUCCAAGAGACCGGCGCACGGGUGCGUAACGCGUAUGCAACCUACCUCUAUCUGGGGGAUAGCCCGGAGAAAUCCGGAUUAAUACCGCAUAAAGCCACAGUACAGCAUUGUACAAUGGCCAAACAUUUAUGGGAUGGAGAUGGGCAUGCGUGCCAUUAGCUAGUUGGCGGGGUAACGGCCCACCAAGGCGACGAUGGCUAGGGGAUCUGAGAGGAUGGCCCCCCACACUGGUACUGAGACACGGACCAGACUCCUACGGGAGGCAGCAGUAAGGAAUAUUGGUCAAUGGAGGCAACUCUGAACCAGCCAUGCCGCGUGCAGGAAGACGGCCCUCCGGGUUGUAAACUGCUUUUAUCCGGGAAUAAACCUAUCUACGUGUAGAUAGCUGAACGUACCGGAGGAAUAAGGAUCGGCUAACUCCGU